rnacentral:misc_RNA from 1 species
AUAGCGCCUUUUUCGUCUUCUUGCACCAAAAACCCUAAAGAAAAAGGAACAAAAAUGGUUUAGAUAAUUGUUCUUGAAGAAUUGGUUGCAAAUGGAUGACUCAGUUUUAAAAUCCAAUGAAGACUCAGUGGAGGAGAACCAAAGUCCAGAGAUAAUAGAGAAGCCAUCUCCGCUGCAGGAUUUGGUUGAACAUCCACAAAGUUCAGAGUCACUAAAGCAAUCAUCAGCAGAGAGUGUGAAAAAAUCAAGGACAGUGAGACCAAGUUUAACAACUCAAAAUGGGGCAACAAAUGCUGGGACUGUGAAGAAGCGAACUGGAAUACCAGAUGGCACUGAUUUUACUCUCAGAGGUGUCAAGUCAUCUCUGACAAAAUCGACUGUUAGUAGCACUUCACGAAUUUCAGGAACAACUCCAGUCACUAGAAGGAGUAGCACUGGCGGAUUGCCUGACAAGCAGCCAAUAGCAGUAACUAAACGAGCUAGUGGCAGUGUUGCUUCAGGUACAGCUAAAAAGACCAACUCUUUGGCAACAGAUCCUAUGCGGCGAUCGCUUCCCGAAAUGCGGAAAAGCACAUUGCCAUCAACCAGUACCAGAACUACUACUCGAUCAAGUAUUUCAGAGAUCAGAAGAUCAGUUCCCCUUUCACCCCUUGCAAAGACUCCAAGAGCAUCAGUUAGUUCUGAUGCAAGCAAAGAAGAAUCUGUUAAGAAGACCUCAGCUAAAUUAUCAUCGCCAUCACUAUCCUCUGCAAGGAGGAGUGCGUCUACAUCGUUAGAGAGUACUGCUAGUAGUGGCUCAACUAGAAAGUUCUCCACGAAGUUGUCUUCUCCAGCUGCUCAGUCACCUUCUGUUUCCACGAAGGCUGGUUCAUUGACAAAAUCGUUCAACAGAAGCAGUAGUUCAUUAAGCAGGAAGAAAGGGGGGACUCCUGAAGGUCGGGAUUCACGCCUUAUCAUGCUUCCUCAAGUGGAAAUCAAAGCUGGCGAUGAUGUGCGCUUGGAUCUGAGGGGCCACAAAAUACAUAGUCUCAACGACGGUGGGCUGAACCUGUCGCCAACUUUAGAGUUUGUUUACCUCAGGGAUAAUCUCUUAUCAGUGUUGGAUGGUAUUGAGAUACUGACUAGGGUGAAGGUUCUUGAUUUGAGCUUCAAUGAUUUCAAAGGUCCUGGAUUUGAACCACUUGAGAAUUGCAAAGCCCUUCAGCAACUUUAUCUUGCUGGAAAUCAAAUUACAUCACUCAAAAGCCUUCCAGAACUUCCCAACUUAGAAUUCCUAUCUGUUGCUCAGAAUAAGUUAAAAUCUCUUUCUAUGUCCAGUCA